UGGGAAUAUUGCACAAUGGGCGCAAGCCUGAUGCAGCGACGCCGCGUGAGGGAUGACGGCCUUCGGGUUGUAAACCUCUUUCACCAGGGACGAAGCGCAAGUGACGGUACCUGGAGAAGAAGCACCGGCCAACUACGUGCCAGCAGCCGCGGUAAUACGUAGGGUGCGAGCGUUGUCCGGAAUUACUGGGCGUAAAGAGCUCGUAGGUGGUUUGUCGCGUUGUUCGUGAAAACUCACAACUCAAUUGUGGGCGUGCGGGCGAUACGGGCAGACUAGAGUACUGCAGGGGAGACUGGAAUUCCUGGUGUAGCGGUGGAAUGCGCAGAUAUCAGGAGGAACACCGGUGGCGAAGGCGGGUCUCUGGGCAGUAACUGACGCUGAGGAGCGAAAGCGUGGGGAGCGAACAGGAUUAGAUACCCUGGUAGUCCACGCCGUAAACGGUGGGUACUAGGUGUGGGUUCCUUCCUUGGGAUCCGUGCCGUAGCUAACGCAUUAAGUACCCCGCCUGGGGAGUACGGCCGCAAGGCUAAAACUUAAAGGAAUUGACGGGGUCAUAGCUGUUUCCU
rnacentral:rRNA from 1 species